rfam:Myotis lucifugus cont2.6929, whole genome shotgun sequence.
GAGACACCCUUAUGUGGCAGGACUUGCUUCAGUGGGGCUUUGGUGCUCACUGAGUCUGCCCCUUGAAUGUGUCAUU